rnacentral:rRNA from 1 species
AACGAACGCUGGCGGCAUGCCUAACACAUGCAAGUCGAACGAUACCUUCGGGUCUAGUUUCGCACGGUGGCUUAACGCGUGGGAACCUGCCCGUAGGUUAGGAGUAACUCCCCGAAAGGGAUGCUAUUACCGGGUAAUGUCUUCGGACCAAAGAUUUAUCGCCUCUUGAUGGGUCCUCGUUGGAUUCGAUUGUUGGUAUACUAAAAGCCCAUGAAGGCUACGAUCCAUAGCUGGUCUGAGAGGAUGACCAGCAACACUGGGACUGGGAGACGGACCAGACUCCUAGGGGAGGCAGCAGUGGGGAAUAUUGGACGCUGGGCGAAAGACUGAUCCAGCCAUGCCGCGUGAGUGAUGAAGGACUUAGGGUUGUAAAGCUCUGUUAACAGGGAUGAUAAUGACAGUACCGGGAGAAUAAGCGCCGGCUAACUCCGUG